CCCUUAGAUGUCCUGGGCCGCACGCGCGCUACACUGAACGGAUCAGCGCGUUUUCCCUUCCCGAGAGGGACGGGUAACCUGCUGAACCCCGUUCGUGGUAGGGAUCGGGGCUUGCAAUUAUUCCCCGUGAACCAGGAAUGCCCAGUAAGUGCAAGUCAUAAGCUUGCGUUGAUUACGUCCCUGCCCUUUGUACACACCGCCCGUCGCUACUACCGAUUGAACGUUUUAGUGAGGUACUCGGACUGAGCCUCAGAAGAUUCACGUCUUUUGUGCUGCUCGGGAAGAUUCCCAAACUCGAGCGUUUAGAGGAAGUAAAAGUCGUAACA
rnacentral:rRNA from 1 species